UACGGGGGGAGCAAGCGUUGUUCGGAUUUACUGGGCGUAAAGGGCGCGUAGGCGGUCAGCACAAGUCAGUUGUGAAAUCUCCGGGCUUAACUCGGAAAGGUCAACUGAUACUGUGCGACUAGAGUGCGGAAGGGGCAACUGGAAUUCUUGGUGUAGCGGUGAAAUGCGUAGAUAUCAGGAAGAACACCGGUGGCGAAAGCGCUCUGCUAGGCCGCAACUGACACUGAGGGACGAAAGCUAGGGGAGCGAAUGGG
rnacentral:rRNA from 1 species